rnacentral:rRNA from 1 species
UACGUAGGGUGCGAGCGUUAAUCGGAAUUACUGGGCGUAAAGCGUGCGCAGGCGGUUUUGUAAGCCAGAUGUGAAAUCCCCGGGCUUAACCUGGGAAUGGCAUUUGGGACUGCAAGGCUGGAGUUUGGCAGAGGAGACUGGAAUUCCCGGUGUAGCAGUGAAAUGCGUAGAUAUCGGGAGGAAUACCGAUGGCGAAGGCAGGUCUCUGGGCUAUAACUGACGCUCAUGCACGAAAAGCGUGGGGAGCAAACAGG